CCUCCUGGGCCGCGCCGAUAGCUUAUCGGGUCCACUCUGGGGGCGCCCAGUGCUACAACCGGAAACGCGGCUGGAGGCCAGUGGAUGCUUGAUGGAGCAGUUCGCGCCGUGGUGCGCGCGCGCCAGGGCUUAGGCUCCAAGUAAAGGCCUUCUUCAUCCAUCCACCCACAACCAGGAUGGCAAAGUACCCGUGGAGACACUGAUGAAAACUAUGGACUUUCUCCAGAAAAAUACACCCAAAAUACAAUUUUGAGACCAGCAUCCAGGCUCUGAAGACCUGUGACAGCCAUCCAUGGAGUCAUGUUAAGAACCUCCACUCCAACUAACCCAAAGCUCACAGCCCUGGAGGAGAAGAAGCCUGUUUGGGGAAUUCUACCUUGGCUCCAUGUCUCUGAAGAGGCUUGUCCCAGGGAAUAUAAUGGGAUCCUCGCUCACACACAACCCAACAGCCGACCCACAAUGGCACACCUCCCAGUUAUUGCCUUAGUCCGGCAAACCCCUGGCUAAGCAUCCACAGCCGAGCUGAGGGCAGUGAGAAAAGUUCAAGUCGCCAGCUGAAGUGGUCUUUAACACCCCCCCCCCGGCCUUCUCAGCCUCACUGUUUAUCCAUAUGAAGCGCUCUCCUUCCCGGCCCACUUCCACCCCCACCUUUCUGAGAUCGGCUAUAAAAAUAAACUAUUUUUCCUUGUUAAUAAAUCUCCGCCCGGCGCCCUCUUUUAAAGAACUCAAAAAAAAAAAAAAAAAAAAAGAAAGAAAGAAAGAAAAAAAAAAUCACUGCGCCCAGCGCGAGCGAGCAGGGAGAUUAAUCUCGAAGCAGGAUUUAUGUGGCGCGGGGAUCCUCAAACAAUUGGAGUCGUAAAGUGAAAUGAGAUUCGGAGGCGGGUGGGGGAGGGGGAGGGCCUCGGGAACCGCAAACACGUUUGUGUAGCUAAACAAUGUGGAAACUUUUAAAGACCCAUUUCUGCAGACAUCUUGCAGCAACCGCGCUUCUCUGUCAGCCCGCGGGAAAGAGAGAGAGAUAUAUUAACUGAAGACACAAUCUAAAAUUACUUAGGGGUUUUAAACAUGCGGACAAUGGGGGCGGGGGUGCUGAUAAACUGUUGUCCAUAUUUCCUUCUCUCAGGGUAUUAUUUCCAAAAUAUUCCACCCCCUUCACAAUGCCCCCUCCCUCCCCCCCUCUUCUUUUCUCUCUCCAUUCAUUACUUUGACGAGUGUGCAGCAGCCGAAGUCGAAGCCGGGAGGUAACAGAAGCCAGCGCGCAGGAUCCGGGUUUGCGCCCUAGUGCCCGGCGCAAUUGCGCCUGUGCGUAAAGACGCUGGUGAGGCGCAGAGCCCGAAUGCCAGGGCUUAGGUACAUCACAUCUACUUCUGGGGUGGUCUUUCUUAGGACGUUAGAUUCUUAGAGGCUUUAAGGAUUCCACGCAGUCUUUUAAUGCGUGGCCUUGGUCAGGAUCGCAGGCAAACCUUUUUCCCUGGCCUCAGGAGUAAGCGCGCAGGAACGCAUGCCCAGGCGGUUCCGGCUCCCAGCCCUGAUAUGUGUGCACUUAGAGCUGGUGAGCUGUUUUGGACUCCUUGGCUCCAGAUAUACAACUAAGAGAGAAGCAGGAGCGAAGGCUGGCCCUCCUUGUUGCUGGGGGGACUUGUGUAGGAAUUGUCGUUAAGUCUGGCGAAAUUGGGGCACGGGCUCAACAUUCAUCGUGCCCUGUAGCAACGCCCGCCUUCCGAGCACGGGAUUCCCACAGUCGUCAAAUCCCCGCAGGAACUAGGCGGCCUGGGUCAGCCUGUUUGACCUCCCGUUUGCUUCUCUGUAAAAUGGCGAUAUAACGGUAUCUACCCCGAUGGUUGUUGGGAGAUUAAGUGACUGCAAAGCUCGUAGAAAAGUGUAGGUGGUCAAUUAGUGUCAGAUGUUUCUGUGGUUAUCGCUUCUUAUGACUGAGUUGUAAGAGCGUGGGCAGAACCCGAAAGACUGCCCUGUUACUCUACAGAGGAGACAGGGCCAGAGAGAGGCAUUCCGUGUCUCAUAGUGAAUGAGGAGAAUGUUAGGGUUGAAAGCCUGAUUUCUGGGUUCAUUCAUUGAUUUGAUAAAUAUCCCAUUAGUUUCAGGCUCGGUGCUGAGCUCUGGAGGCCCAGCUGUGACCAGGUUGGUCCUGUGCCCCGCGGAGCCCGACGAUCAGCGGGAGAGACCGAUGCUGAAACCUACAGUAUUUCCUUUGAUGCCAAAUUCUUGCCCGCGCCGCUCCUUAAUGCUUCUCUGGUCACAGCUGGGGCGCUGCAGGCUGCAGACAGACCCCUGUCCCCAGGAGGCAUACAAACGUGGGGGUUAGGGGAGAACAGGCAAAGGCAGAAGCAUUCUCCACCUAGGACGCCUCUGUGGCCGCCGCCGCGCGCCAGCCUGUGACCAGCGGCGCAGCUUCACCCAGGCUGCCGGCUGCCGCUGUCGCCCUUGCGGGGCACACGUCCAGCAAAACAUUUCUAAAUGUGUCUGGGCCCAAUUCCGGAGUGUGAAGCAAUCCCUCCGGCCCACGCUGCCGGCGGACCCUUUAUGUAGUCGCGUUUCAGCCGCGCAGCGCUCAUCAGCGCCACUUAUGUCAUCGUUUCUGGGUGCGCGCGGGCAAAUUUGCUCCGCGCGCGCGCGCCCAGCGACCCCAGCGACCCUCCCCUCCCAGUGGCCUCCACUCUAGCCCUGCAGGGCCCCCAGGGAUUUGCUCUGGGGGCUUGGCCAAGAAAAGUGGCCACCGGGACGGGCUGUUCUCUGCCUCCGUGAGUGUGGCCCAGGUGGAAAUUCCAGUGAAAACUGAGCAUUCUGAAUUAAAACAAAACACAGCUAACUUAAACUAACCUAAACUCGUUUAGAGAGGUUUGAAUUGGCUGCCUAAUUACGGAUUCCUCCAUCAUGAGUCUCUUGAAUUACCUAGGCAAAACUGUCAAUUAUCCAAAUGUUAUACUGAAUUUCCCAGAAUUUCCUGGAUUUGCCAGGUAGUCAACAUCUGCUGUUAUGGGGACAACCGUCCAGAUUGUAUUAGCACAGUGUUCUGCUCUCCAGCUGUGGCUGGAUGCCUGCUCACUCUCCUGAAUUUUUCUGAUACAGUACUUCUGGAUUUAUUUUUCCCUGGCAAAUUCCACAAUGCUCCCAAGGUUGUGAUGGAGAAGGGAGGGAGAGAUGGGUGUGGUGAUGAGAGUGGUGGUUACCUUGGCAUCUUCUCUGAGCUUCUUGGGCUUCUGAGUAUGUUCAUGGCUGGAAGAAGAGCUUCAGAGGCAGCCCCACCAGGUUUCCCAAAUUAGAGAAUUAAAGCAAUCUCUCUGGUCAUCCACACACUAGAUGUCUCAACUUUUCCCAAAUUUCCAGAUAAUUAAGUGUAUAAGGGAAAUGAGAAGAUGGGCCAAAAUUUCCACAUAAUUUUCUAAUUUUCUUUCAUCUCCAUUAUGUCACGAGAAGUGUAAAUACACCCCUUUUACCUUGAAAGGAGAAAGAAAGAAAGAAAGAGAAAGAAAGAAAGGCAAACAAAACAAAUCUCCUGUAUUUGUUUGAAACUCUCUUCCUGCAUUUAGAGG
rnacentral:lncRNA from 1 species